rnacentral:rRNA from 1 species
UUUCAACAAGAAAGAAAUAAUAAAAUUUAAUAAAUUUUAUUACUGACGUUACUUGUAAAAGAAGCACCGGCUAACUCCGUGCCAGCAGCCGCGGUAAUACGGAGGGUGCGAGCGUUAAUCGGAAUUACUGGGCGUAAAGAGCACGUAGGCGGUAUAUUAAGUCAGAUGUGAAAUCCCUGAGCUUAACUUAGGAAUUGCAUUUGAAACUGAUAUGCUUGAGUUUCGUAGAGGGGGGUAGAAUUCCAGGUGUAGCGGUGAAAUGCGUAGAUAUCUGGAGGAAUACCAGUGGCGAAGGCGACCCCCUGGAUGAAUACUGACGCUGAGGUGCGAAAGCGUGGGUAGCAAACAGGAUUAGAUACCCUGGUAGUCCAUGCUGUAAACGAUGUCGACUUGAAGGUUGUAAGCUUGACUUGUAACUUUCGUAGCUAACGCGUUAAGUCGACCGCCUGGGGAGUACGACCGCAAGGUUAAAACUCAAAUGAAUUGACGGGGGCCCGCACAAGCGGUGGAGCAUGUGGUUUAAUUCGAUGCAACGCGAAAAACCUUACCUGGUCUUGACAUCCAUGGAAUUUAGUAGAGAUACUUUAGUGCUUCGGGAACCAUGAGACAGGUGCUGCAUGGCUGUCGUCAGCUCGUGUUGUGAAAUGUUGGGUUAAGUCCCGCAACGAGCGCAACCCUUGUCCUUUGUUGCCAACGGUUCGGCCGGGAACUCAAAGGAGACUGCCGGUGAUAAACUGGAGGAAGGUGAGGACGACGUCAAGUCAUCAUGGCCCUUACGACCAGGGCUACACACGUGCUACAAUGGUAUAUACAAAGGGAAGCAUCCUCGCGAGAGUAAGCGGAUCUCACAAAAUAUAUCGUAGUUCGGAUUGGAGUCUGCAACUCGACUCCAUGAAGUCGGAAUCGCUAGUAAUCGUAGAUCAGAACGCUACGGUGAAUACGUUCUCGGGCCUUGUACACACCGCCCGUCACACCAU